CCUACGGGGGGCAGCAGUGAGGAAUAUUGGUCAAUGGCCGGAAGGCUGAACCAGCCAAGCCGCGUGAAGGACGAAGGUGCCAAGCAUUGUAAACUUCUUUUGUCAAGGGACAAAAUCAGGCUCGAGAGCCUGACCGAGGGUACCUGAAGAAUAAGCUCCGGCUAACUCCGUGCCAGCAGCCGCGGUAAUACGUAGGGAGCGAGCGUUAUCCGGAAUUAUUGGGCGUAAAGGGUGCGUAGAUGGCAUAGUAAGUCUUCUGUAAAAAUGCUGGGCUCAACCCAGUAGGGCAAAAGAUACUGCAAAGCUAGAGUAUGACAGAGGCAAGUGGAACGACAUGUGUAGCGGUAAAAUGCGUAAAUAU
rnacentral:rRNA from 1 species